CGGUGAUGCUUUCGUGGCGGCGAUGGUGAUGGGGUACGCUGGUGGCGAUGGCGGCGGUGAGAACGAGACUCUGGAGAACGCGAUCGCGAACGAUAGCGUUCAGGAGAGCGAGUGCGGGAACGAGUGUGCCGUGACCGGGUGCGGUCAGGUGAACGGGUGCGAGAACGAGCACUGCGGGUGCGAUCAGGUGAACGGGUGCGAGAACGAGUGCUCCGGAUGCGGUCUCUAGCUCUGUCUCUUUCACGGUCACGAUCGCGUUCACGGUCUUCUUUGUCUCGGCGUCUUUCUCUGUCUCGGUCUCGGUCUCUGUCUCUGUCUCUGUCUCUGUCCCUAG
rnacentral:lncRNA from 1 species